rnacentral:lncRNA from 1 species
GUUCCAAUGUUUUCUUAUAAUUUUAAUAAAGUUUUUCACCAUUUGGUUAUAUUUUGUAAUAAGAGUAAGUGGGUAUUUUUCUUGUUCUUGUAUUUCUAAAGUUUUUUUUUAUUAAUAAUUUGGAACCAAAUCGAAGGACUAACGAGUUCUGUCCCCUUGUUGUUUUAAGCUUGUAAUAGAUUCAGAUUAAGUAUGCUAAUUAGAUAUGUGCGCAUAAAAAGUGCGCACAAAUCUCAGUGUGUAAUUUUAAAUUCUCAGUGUGUAAUUUUAAAUUCUCAGUGUGUAAUUUCAAAUUCUCAGUGUGUGUUUUCAGUUUAUUUAUUCUCAGUGUGUUUUUUUGAAAUCUCAGUGUGUAAUUUUCAAUUCUCAGUGUGUAAUUUUCAAUUCUCAGUGUGUAAUUUUCAAUUCUCAGUGUGCAUUUUUCAUUUUUGUAAUCUCAGUGCGUCUUUAUGAAAUCUCAGUGUGUAAUUUUUAAUUCUCAUUGUGUAAUUUUCAAUUCUCAGUGUGUAAUUUUCAAUUCUCAGUGUGUAAUUUUCCAUUCUCAGUGUGCGUUUUGAAGUUUUUAAAUUUCAGUGUGCUUUGUUGUAAUUCUCAGUGUGUAAAUUUUUCGAAAAAUGGUUUAAACA